rnacentral:rRNA from 1 species
UACAGAGGUCUCAAGCGUUGUUCGGAUUCAUUGGGCGUAAAGGGUGCGUAGGCGGCGCGGUAAGUCGGGUGUGAAAUCUCGGGGCUUAACUCCGAAACUGCAUUCGAUACUGCCGUGCUUGAGGACUGGAGAGGAGACUGGAAUUUACGGUGUAGCGGUGAAAUGCGUAGAUAUCGUAAGGAAGACCAGUGGCGAAGGCGGGUCUCUGGACAGUUCCUGACGCUGAGGCACGAAGGCCAGGAGAGCAAACGGG